UGGAGGUCGUCAGCGUCUACAUCAUCGUCGUCCACGACGGCGGCGGCCUCGAUGCAUGUGGCCGGGGUCGUCUCAGCUGCGCCACGCUCCACGCAAGGAGGUCCAGACCGACCAGCCGUCGGCUCGCUCCAUGAUGCAGGCGUCGGCAAGCUCGAAAGUCUCGCCGACCUGGGCUCCUCCUUCAGCGGCGCCAGAAUCCCCUAUAGCUCAGCGACGCUGGCCUCCACUCCGGCAAUGGCCGCUGCCCUACAAGCGCUAGGUCCUGGCGCGGCACCAGUAGAUGCGUUGCCUGCACGAGGAUGUUGCAGGCUACAGGUUCGUUCGUUGGACAUUUGAGCUCUCUUAUCACUAGUCGGGUGGAUAGUUGAAACUUUCAAUGUGCAAUCAAAUUACAUAGUUCAUUUUUUUUCACAUGGCAAUUUUUGUUGUGUUCACUUGUGUGGAAGCUGUGGAAGAUGAAUGCCCUAGCAUUUUUGCAUACCAUGUCAUUUUGAGGUCAUGGAAGCAUGGCAAUUGUAGUUUAUAAACAUCACUCAUGAGUUCAUUUUUUUCACAUGGCAACUUUU
rnacentral:lncRNA from 1 species